rnacentral:rRNA from 1 species
GAAAGCAGGGGAUCUUCGGACCUUGCGCUAAUAGAUGAGCCUAAGUCGGAUUAGCUAGUUGGUGGGGUAAAGGCCUACCAAGGCGACGAUCUGUAGCGGGUCUGAGAGGAUGAUCCGCCACACUGGGACUGAGACACGGCCCAGACUCCUACGGGAGGCAGCAGUGGGGAAUAUUGGACAAUGGGCGCAAGCCUGAUCCAGCCAUGCCGCGUGUGUGAAGAAGGCCUUUUGGUUGUAAAGCACUUUAAGCGAGGAGGAGGCUCCUUUAGUUAAUACCUAAAGUGAGUGGACGUUACUCGCAGAAUAAGCACCGGCUAACUCUGUGCCAGCAGCCGCGGUAAUACAGAGGGUGCGAGCGUUAAUCGGAUUUACUGGGCGUAAAGCGUGCGUAGGCGGCUUUUUAAGUCGGAUGUGAAAUCCCUGAGCUUAACUUAGGAAUUGCAUUCGAUACUGGAGAGCUAGAGUAUGGGAGAGGAUGGUAGAAUUCCAGGUGUAGCGGUGAAAUGCGUNAGAGAUCUGGAGGAAUANCCGAAUGGCGAAGGCGGCCAUCUGGCCUAAUACUGACGCUGAGGUACGAAAGCAUGGGGAGCAAACAGGAUUAGAUACCCUGGUAGUCCAUGCCGUAAACGAUGUCUACUAGCCGUUGGGGCCUUUGAGGCUUUAGUGGCGCAGCUAACGCGAUAAGUAGACCGCCUGGGGAGUACAGUNCNGNCAAGACUAAAACUCAAAUGAAUUGACGGGGGCCCGCACAAGCGGUGGAGCAUGUGGUUUAAUUCGAUGCAACGCGAAGAACCUUACCUGGCCUUGACAUACUAAGAACUUUCCAGAGAUGGAUUGGUGCCUUCGGGAACUUAGAUACAGGUGCUGCAUGGCUGUCGUCAGCUCGUGUCGUGAGAUGUUGGGUUAAGUCCCGCAACGAGCGCAACCCUUUUCCUUAUUUGCCAGCGGGUUAAGCCGGGAACUUUAAGGAUACUGCCAGUGACAAACUGGAGGAAGGCGGGGACGACGUCAAGUCAUCAUGGCCCUUACGGCCAGGGCUACACACGUGCUACAAUGGUCGGUACAAAGGGUUGCUACCUCGCGAGAGGAUGCUAAUCUCAAAAAGCCGAUCGUAGUCCGGAUCGCAGUCUGCAACUCGACUGCGUGAAGUCGGAAUCGCUAGUAAUCGCGGAUCAGAAUGCCGCGGUGAAUACG